GGCCAGACUCCUACGGGAGGCAGCAGUGGGGGAUAUUGCACAAUGGGGGAAACCCUGAUGCAGCGACGCCGCGUGGGCGAAGAAGUAUUUCGGUAUGUAAAGCCCUAUCAGCAGGGAAGAAGAAAUGACGGUACCUGAGUAAGAAGCACCGGCUAAAUACGUGCCAGCAGCCGCGGUAAUACGUAGGGGGCAAGCGUUAUCCGGAUUUACUGGGUGUAAAGGGAGCGUAGACGGCAGCGCAAGUCUGAAGUGAAAUGCCGGGGCUUAACCCCGGAACUGCUUUGGAAACUGAGCAGCUAGAGUGCAGGAGAGGUAAGUGGAAUUCCUAGUGUAGCGGUGAAAUGCGUAGAUAUUAGGAGGAACACCGGUGGCGAAGGCGGCCUGCUGGACUGCAACUGACGUUGAGGCCCGAAAGCGUGGGGAGCAAACAGGAUUAGAUACCCCAGUAU
rnacentral:rRNA from 1 species